rnacentral:siRNA from 1 species
CCAAUUCAAGAAUCAUUCCUGUGA